UCGAAACACAGAGGGAACAACACAAGGUCAGAAAAAACACAAAAGUGGCGGAAAAAUAAAAUCGAACGAAAAGAAUGGUAAUGAUAAAUCAAAAGGUGGAAUGGCGUCUAUUCGAACCCCACACUCCAUUUAAGGUCAUUGAACGUUUUUAGAAAAAAAAAAUUGACACGUGUUAUUUUAUUUUUGUCUCUUCUCUUCUUGUUAUGCGCUGCUUGUUUUAUAUACUUUGUGGACGACUGACAUGCGUGAAGUGUGAGUUGGCCAGUGUCAAUACAAAAUUUUACAUUAUUUCCUUUUUCCGUUACUGGAGGAUAAACAAUACAUAUUUACAGUUCCAUUACCGGAUGAUAAUUACCGCAGAAGUUACAAGACACACAAGGCCGAUUGUUCAAAAGAAAAGGUGAAAAGCCGAUAAACUGAAUCGAAUACCCAGUAUAUAUUACAGAUUCAAGGCCAAUAGAGUUUAAUAUCGAUUCAACGAUUGAUUGUACGUCUUGCCAACCAGUGUAUUACUGGUAUUUAUAUAUCAUUG